GGCAAACGUGCUGCGUGCCGUAAUACGCAGACAACAUUCCACGUAACCGGAGCUGCAAUGACACUCGUUUCCGAAAGACAAAAAGCCCUCAAAGAUCCAUAAAGUCGAACGCACUUUAAUGUCACUGGGCGACGUGGGUAUAUGGACCACCUCUUCACCAUUUUCCCGAAUCGGAUUCUCAGGAUUCUCAAGGAACGCUCUCUGCCUCGUUCAUAACCCCCUUUAGCUCGAUUUUCUCCUAACCAGAGACACCAGGGUGACUACCCUCUGCUUUUUUUUUUAUAGGAAAAAAAAAAAAGGUAAGUCAGAUGUUGUGACCAGACAAAUCAGACAGAUGUGUCCAGGCAGUUCUUUGUUGCUUCCUAACAGGGCUUCUGAAAAUGUACCGGACAGUGGAAGGAACCAGCGCUGGGCUAAGUGUGUGACUGUGUGGCAUCCGAAGGGAGCUACCUCGAUGGCGACUAAGUUUCACAUUUUAAAAUAUAAUUCCGUUCUGCGUACUUUUGACCAAAUUUCAUAAUGGCCAGCACAGAAGGACCCCUUGUGCUCGCAGGAAUGAAGAGCUAUUACACGCAUAGUGAUUCAGCACAGAGAACACACGGAACGUGAAAUUAAACCACUUCGCGAGGUGACAUUCGUGGUGAAGAAAAUAAUAUUUUGUCUGCUAUUAGGAAUAAUAGUUACUUUGAUUCGCACUGCGUACGUAGGACAACUUUCG